GACAAUUUGGAGGUCCCACCGAGAUGAUAUGCCUAUGAGCAUUCGGGAAACGGACGACUAAGGGAGGGAUUGUUAGUGAACAAUUUCACCGCGGUAUACAAACGAUUGAAGGAAAAACAGAAGAACUUUUAGUCGAUACAAGGGCUACUUUUUCAGCUUUAAAAAGAUCAACUCAAAUUGACAACAGGACCCCUGUCUCUGUAGUAGGAGUAACGGGAAAACCUAUGCUACUCCUGAGGACAAAAGGUAUUAAAGUUACAGGACAAUUGGGAGGACAGAAAGUUGAUGAAAUUCGCACCUUUCUGCAAACAACAGGAGAUCUGAGCUGCAGGUGCUAGUACUUGAAAAUUGACAGUGAAGAUUUCUCGAAUAUAAUUCAUAUUGAAAAUAAGACCUCAGGUUCAGAUCUCUAGA